UCACCAAAUCCCCAAAUUGAAAAGGAAGAACCCUAGAUUCCCAAAAUUGGAAAAGACGGCACAUACUCCGGUCACCGCCGGCGCCUCUCCACUCUCCUCUCCUUACUGUGGUCUCGCCGCUGCUGCCUUCGCUGGUGUGCGAACUCGAGGGAGUCAGCUUACACUUCUCCGUCCAGCCCUCUCAACUCCGCAACGCACCACCAUCGCCGCCCUUGGCUUUGCACCACUCCCGUCCCUGUCGCCUUCUCUUCGCGGCGGUAGGAAACUCGUGGGCGAGCAGCAUCGCUGUAUACGCCGCCUCCGUGAGCCACGCCGCUUCGUCGGGAGGUAUACAUAGAGUAAUGCAGGGGCUGUUGGGGUGUGGAAGGGAGUGCAGAGCAGAGUUUGCUCAUUUAGAAAGGCAAAGGUUAUCCAUUUGUGAGGAAUACAGCUGCUGCUCAGUGAGAGGAGAGCUGAUUUCUUUUGCAAGAAGUGCACCUAGAAGUGGGCUGUAACUUAGUUGCUAUGCCAUAUGUAUGCAACAUUAAAUUCUAUGUAUUUUUACCUCCUGGUUUAGUAGAUGUAGACAUAUUCAUUCUUUCAUUUGUAAAAGUUCCAAGGCCUCGGUUCAUUGGCGUACCCAUGUAAAAAUCCAUGACAUUCCAUCUCAUACAAUUUCAAUAACUAUAUAUUCUCCUUUGCAUCG